rnacentral:rRNA from 1 species
UGUGUGUUAGUGGAAGCGUCUGGAAAGGCGUGCGAUACAGGGUGACAGCCCCGUACACAAAAAUGCACAUAUUGUGAGCUUGAUGAGUAGGGCGGGACACGUGGUAUCCUGUCUGAAUAUGGGGGGACCAUCCUCCAAGGCUAAAUACUCCUGACUGACCGAUAGUGAACCAGUACCGUGAGGGAAAGGCGAAAAGAACCCCGGCGAGGGGAGUGAAAAAGAACCUGAAACCGUGUACGUACAAGCAGUGGGAGCACGCUUAGGCGUGUGACUGCGUACCUUUUGUAUAAUGGGUCAGCGACUUAUAUUCUGUAGCAAGGUUAACCGAAUAGGGGAGCCGAAGGGAAACCGAGUCUUAACUGGGCGUUAAGUUGCAGGGUAUAGACCCGAAACCCGGUGAUCUAGCCAUGGGCAGGUUGAAGGUUGGGUAACACUAACUGGAGGACCGAACCGACUAAUGUUGAAAAAUUAGCGGAUGACUUGUGGCUGGGGGUGAAAGGCCAAUCAAACCGGGAGAUAGCUGGUUCUCCCCGAAAGCUAUUUAGGUAGCGCCUCGUGAAUUCAUCUCCGGGGGUAGAGCACUGUUUCGGCAAGGGGGUCAUCCCGACUUACCAACCCGAUGCAAACUGCGAAUACCGGAGAAUGUUAUCACGGGAGACACACGGCGGGUGCUAACGUCCGUCGUGAAGAGGGAAACAACCCAGACCGCCAGCUAAGGUCCCAAAGUCAUGGUUAAGUGGGAAACGAUGUGGGAAGGCCCAGACAGCCAGGAUGUUGGCUUAGAAGCAGCCAUCAUUUAAAGAAAGCGUAAUAGCUCACUGGUCGAGUCGGCCUGCGCGGAAGAUGUAACGGGGCUAAACCAU